UUCUAAUAACCUCUUCUCUUGACCAGGGAAACCAGGUUUUACAAAGAAACAAGCAGACCUCUUCUUUCCUCCUGAUUUUGCUGAUGACUUCCCAGUGGCGAUGCAGGUUUGUACAAUGCUGUCAAACUUAGCUUAUUUGUUUACCCUGUCAAAUUAUUGAAUUGUUGAGUUGGUCUGUGGCAGAUCUCAAAUAAGUACAGUUUGAUAUAUGUGAUCACAAAGCUCGGACUUCUAUUUGUUUAUGAUCUGGAAACAGCUACUGCUGUUUACAGAAAUCGCAUUAGUGCAGAUCCUAUAUUUUUGACAUCAGAAGCUUCGUCCAUAGGAGGGUUUUAUGCUGUGAAUAGGAAAGGCCAGGUGCUGCUCGCAACUGUCAAUGAAGCAACAAUCGUGCCCUUUGUCAGUGGCCAAGUAUGUCUCGAUGUCUAUACUUUCUUGAUUUCUAAUGCAACAAUUUGAAUACGACCCUUACAACCGUUUGGAACAUUGCAGUUAAACAAUCUGGAGCUAGCUGUUAAUCUUGCCAAAAGAGGAAAUCUUCCAGGAGCAGAGAAUUUGGUAAUUAUGUUUGUCUAAUUUUUGGCACUGUUUAUGCGUUGACAUAGCAAUAGAUGGCGAUAGAGUAUCUUUCACUUAGCUAUUCAUCAUUGUCUUGAAACAUCGAUUUGUUUGUUGUAGUGGUUGGUGAGUUUUUCCAAGACUUUUUUUCAUCUCGGUUCUUCCUAUUGUAGAUUCAUGUAUGCAUCAGUUAAUUGCUAGUUGAAUUUGAUUUAGUAGAUGAAUUAUUUUUCUUUAAGUUGACUGAUUUCCUAUUCAAAACAUAAACUAUCUGGAAUGCAACUUAAAAAAUGUGGAAAAUGUGAACAAGCCCUUAGUUGAAUGAAGAAUUAUUAAGGCAACAUAGAUCAUUCUUUUUUAUGGUUGUGGAUAAUAACUUGAAUGGAUGUGAGAAAACCGUUGUAUCUAUUAUUGAUGCAUGUUCUGCCAGAAGUUUCAAGCUAUUGUCAUGUUGGUUAUGCAUAGAUAUGGGGCUUUAAGUAAGGUCUGGGUAUCGUGGUUUCUAUAUGUGUUCCCUUGAACAUUGGCAUCUUGUCACACCACCAGUGUUGGCUAAAACUGCUUUUUUGUGGGCAACACAGUCCAGUAUGAUUUCUUACCCUGUUUCUCUGUCUCAGGUUGUUCAACGAUUCCAGGAGUUAUUCUCACAGACAAAAUAUAAGGAGGCUGCAGAACUUGCUGCUGAGUCUCCUCAGGGCCUUCUUCGCACUCCAGAGACUGUUGCAAAAUUUCAGGUCCUGAUUUGCUGUUAUUAUUUCUUGAUGCCUGCGUUUAUUAUCUCUUUAAUUGUUAUCUGGCCUGCCUUUGUGGCCUUAUUCUACAAUGUAUUUUGGUUCCUGUGUAUUUUAACAAUAGAUGUUUGAAUAUUUUCUUGUUCUUUUUUUAAAAAUCAUGCAUGCAAAAUGAAAACUGGUUCCUCUCUAGUGAUGCAUCUCAUGACUUGCCGUUUAUGAAGUUUUACUUAUUUAAAUACCCUUGUGCAGAGUGUCCCAGUGCAAGCUGGACAAACUCCACCACUAUUGCAGUAUUUUGGUACACUGUUAACAAGAGGGAAACUCAAUAUAUUUGAGUCUCUGGAGUUGUCCCGGCUUGUUGUUAAUCAGAACAAGAAGAACCUAUUAGAAAAUUGGUUAGCUGAGGACAAGCUCGAGUGCAGUGAAGAGCUCGGAGAUCUUGUGAAGGUGAGUUUGGAAUGCUCUGGUACCAGUUUUUUUGUCUAAGAGAUAUCUGUCAUAAUGAACAUUAGAUAUACGUAGUUCAAUGUUUUAAAUAUUAUGAAAAGUAUUAUUUUAAUAUUUCAUUUUCUUUUGAUUGCAGACAGUGGAUAAUGACCUUGCACUAAAAAUAUAUAUUAAAGCAAGGGCCACUCCAAAAGUAGUUGCAGCUUUUGCGGAAAGGAGGGAAUUUGACAAGAUUCUUAUCUAUUCAAAGCAGGUAUUUGAAGUGGCUGCGAUAUUGGAAUGUUUUAAUGUGACAAUCACUCUUAUAGUUAUCUGUAUAUUUUGAUUCAGACCUAAGAUUCUCUCACUACAAUCCUUGGUGCACUCAUUCAUUUUUCUCAUUUCCUGAAUGCAGGUUGGAUACACGCCUGACUAUCUUUUCCUCUUGCAAACGAUUCUGCGAUCAGAUCCUCAGGUAUCCUGUCCCAAAUGCCUUACAAAUGCUUUCAAAUUUUAGGUCUAAGUGUUGAACAAUUACUUGCAACAAUUUGCUUCGUAUUAGUUUACGUUAAAAUUAUUACUUUUGACCUUCGGCUAUUCAUGUUGCAUUUGCACGUUUAUAUUGCUUUGUUAUGUGUACUCUGAAAUUUCAUGCCAUUUUAUUUCUUAGAUUGUUUUUCAACAACAAUCUCUCAAUGCAGGGUGCAGUUAACUUCGCUCUCAUGAUGUCACAAAUGGAAGGCGGUUGCCCGGUUGACUACAACACAAUUACAGACCUUUUUCUGCAGGUUUGUCCAAUCAUUUCCCCAUUUUAUGCCCAUAUUUUGACUGGCUUUCACACAUUAUCGAGAACCUAUUAUCUUUUUUCUUCGUAAGUUUUACUAAUUGCUUUUCUGUUCCUCUGUUAUGUUUUAGAGGAACAUGAUUCGAGAGGCAACAGCCUUCUUGUUGGAUGUUUUAAAACCAAACUUACCAGAGCACGCUUUCCUCCAAACUAAGGUCAUCAUUGCUGCUUUCUACUGUCUCUAUAAUAUUUCUUUACAAAAAAACAGAAAAUUUAUGUUCUCUAUUCUCUCCUUUCAUGUAUACGCCGCUAACUUUCUUUGGUAUCAUUCUUGAUAGGUCUUAGAGAUCAAUCUUGUGACAUACCCAAAUGUUGCAGAUGCUAUAUUAGCAAAUGGAAUGUUUAGUCAUUAUGAUCGCCCCCGGAUUGCUCAAUUGUGUGAAAAAGCUGGCCUUUAUAUGCGAGCCCUUCAGGUUUUAUCUUUCUCAUAUGUCUGAAUCUCAGAGGUGAAUUUCAUGCCCUUUUAAUUAACAAACAACUUCAUAUUGUCAGCAUUACUCUGAGCUGCCUGAUAUCAAGCGAGUUAUAGUGAAUACUCAUGCGAUUGAGCCCCAGGUUUGAUUUCGAUUAUUGUCCUCCUUUGUUUAGAGAAAUUUAUUUUUGGUUCUGAAUUAUGAAACAUUUUUAGGCACUCGUUGAGUUCUUUGGAACUCUUUCAAAAGAGUGGGCGCUGGAGUGUAUGAAAGAUCUUCUCUUGGUGAAUUUGAGGGGAAAUCUGCAGAUAAUUGUGCAGGUAUUUUUCUCUUAACUGUCCCAAUCAGGUAUAUUGCCAAUAUUUUGUGAGGUUCUGAUUGACCUCUCUUCUGCAGGCAGCUAAAGAGUAUUCUGAGCAGCUUGGUGUUGAUUCGUGCAUAAAGCUUUUUGAGCAAUUUAAGUCAUACGAGGGUCUGUACUUCUUCUUGGGAUCAUAUCUAAGCUCCAGGUGCCUGCAUGAAGAAACCCCCUUUGGUCCAAACACGCCUUUUUCAUUUCUUUGUGCGAUGACUUUCCCUUGUCCUGACUCUUUUUUCAUUGUACAGCGAAGACCCUGGUAUUCACUUCAAAUAUAUUGAGGCUGCAGCCAAAACCGGUCAAAUUAAGGAAGUUGAACGUGUCACCAGAGAAUCUAACUUCUAUGAUCCUGAGAAGACAAAAAAUUUUCUGAUGGAGGCAAAAUUACCAGAUGCACGGCCACUCAUUAAUGUUUGUGACCGUUUUGGUUUUGUUCCUGAUCUUACCCACUAUUUGUACGCAAACAAUAUGCUUCGGUACAUUGAGGGUUAUGUUCAGAAGGUACGAUUUAGUUGGAAGGGCUCUAUCUGCUAUUUUAUGUAUCACUUGCAUUUUGAUAUCCUUUAAUAUAUGUGAUGGCUGUUUUAUUUAACUUUGGAAUUGGAAAGAUGACGUGCCACAUCUCUAUCUCAGGUCAAUCCUGGAAAUGCUCCGCUAGUUGUUGGUCAACUGCUAGAUGAUGAGUGUCCAGAGGAUUUCAUCAAGGGGCUUAUCCUUUCUGUGCGGUCUCUUCUUCCAGUGGAGCCACUCGUGGAUGAAUGCGAGAAAAGGUACUCCACAACUUACUCACAAAGAAAUAUCUUCUAUGAUCUUUAUUUGUGACUGAUUGCGUGACUGAAUGCUAGGAAUCGCCUUCGGCUGCUUACCCAAUUCUUGGAGCAUCUAGUGAGUGAAGGGAGCCAAGACGUGCAUGUACACAAUGCGUUGGGUAAAAUUAUCAUAGAUAGCAACAAUAACCCCGAGCACUUCCUCACAACCAACCCAUACUACGAUUCACGUGUUGUGGGCAAGUACUGCGAGAAAAGGGACCCUACACUUGCGGUUGUUGCAUACAGGAGGGGACAAUGUGAUGAAGAACUCAUCAAUGUCACUAACAAAAACUCGUUAUUUAAGCUGCAAGCCAGGUUGGUAUACUAUUUAGCAUUGCCCUUCCAUAUUCUUAUCGCUCUCCUCUAGAAAAAGGAGAUUGUAGCCGUUAAGCUGAGUCUUAGUUUGUUGCUUACAGAUAUGUGGUGGAAAGGAUGGAUGCUGAUCUUUGGGAGAAGGUUCUCCUCCCUGAUAAUGAAUAUCGACGACAGCUUAUCGAUCAAGUUGUGUCUACGGCUUUGCCUGAAAGCAAGAGCCCAGAGCAGGUUUCUGCAGCUGUUAAAGCUUUCAUGACUGCAGAUCUUCCACAUGAGCUUAUCGAGCUGCUUGAAAAGAUUGUCCUCCAAAAUUCUGCCUUCAGUGGGAACUUUAAUUUGCAGAAUCUUCUAAUUUUAACAGCCAUUAAAGCUGAUACUUCAAGGGUCAUGGAUUAUGUAAAUAGGUUGGACAAUUUUGACGGACCUGCGGUUGGAGAAGUGGCAGUUGAAGCACAGCUUUAUGAAGAAGCCUUUGCAAUAUUUAAGAAGUUUGACUUAAAUGUUCAGGCAGUUAAUGUCCUCCUCGAUAACAUCAGAAGCAUUGAUCGUGCUGUAGAAUUUGCUUUCCGUGUUGAAGAAGAUGCCGUCUGGAGUCAGGUCGCCAAGGCUCAACUUAGGGAAGGUCUUGUGAGUGAUGCAAUCGAGUCAUUUAUUCGCGCAGACGAUGCAACGCAUUUCCUGGAUGUUAUUCGAGCUGCUGAGGACACAAAUGUGUAUCAUGACCUUGUAAAGUACUUGUUGAUGGUUAGGCAGAAGGUCAAGGAGCCGAAGGUGGACAGUGAGCUCAUCUAUGCAUUUGCAAAGAUUGACAGGCUGGGUGAUAUUGAAGAAUUCAUUCUCAUGCCCAAUGUUGCUAACCUUCAAAAUGUUGGCGACCGUCUCUACGAUGAAGCCUUAUAUGAGGCGGCAAAGAUUAUAUUUGCUUUCAUUUCUAACUGGGCCAAGUUGGCUAGUACUCUGCUGAAGCUAAGACAAUUUCAAGGUGCGGUUGAUGCAGCUCGUAAAGCUAACAGUGCAAAGACGUGGAAGGAAGUUUGUUUUGCCUGUGUGGAUGCUGAGGAGUUCCGCCUGGCUCAAAUGGCUGGACUCAAUAUCAUAGUACAGGUACUUGCUUUGUUACUCCCUCUUGACCUUGUUCCUUUGGUUCGCUUCAGAGCGUGCGAUUAUCACAUUGCAUGUCAAACAUAAGUUAGCCAGUACAGCUCUAAUCUAGUCAACCAAUCCGAAAUUUUCCAUUCUUAUCCUCGUUCUUGGCGCACUCUGGCCGAUUCAUCCCUUUCUAAAUUCAAUAGAUUAGUGUCACUUUAUCCUAAUCCACUUUCUGAUUUUUAGUUUCUUUUUAGUAGCUCAUGAUAAUGAUAUUGAUAAUGGUAAUGGUAACCCUUAAUCUUUCGACGCCAAUAUUGUAGGUGGAUGACAUGGAAGAAGUCAGCGAAUAUUAUCAGAAUAGAGGGUGUUUCAAUGAGAUUAUCUCUCUCAUGGAGAGCGGCCUCGGAUUGGAUCGCGCUCACAUGGGCAUUUUCACUGAGUUGGGUGUUUUGUAUGCAAGAUAUCGACAUGAGAAACUCAUGGAGCACAUUAAACUUUUCUCAACUCGCCUGAACAUUCCAAAGCUCAUAAGAGCAUGUGACGAGCAGCAACACUGGAAGGAGCUAACCUAUCUUUAUAUUCAGUAUGAUGAGUUCGACAAUGCUGCCACAACAAUCAUGAAUCACUCUCCGGAAGCAUGGGAUCACAUGCAGUUCAAAGAUGUCGUGGUUAAAGUGGCGAACGUUGAACUUUACUACAAAGCAGUUCACUUCUACUUGCAGGAGCAUCCAGACCUUAUCAAUGAUAUCCUCAACGUGCUUGCCCUUCGCAUCGAUCAUACACGUGUGGUAGAUAUAAUGAGAAAGGUGUGCUCACGUCUUUGCCAUUUGUUGUUACACUCAUCAGGCCUAGCAUAUUAUGCGAUUUCAGCUAGGAAGAUACGAUGUGGGAGAAACUAUUCUUCUUCAUAUUCUUAAUAUCAUUGCGUUUUAAUAUUCCUGUGCAUUUUCAGGCCGGUCAUUUACGCCUGGUGAAGCCAUACAUGGUCGCAGUGCAGAGCAACAACGUGGCCGCUGUGAAUGAGGCUCUGAAUGAAAUUUAUGUGGAGGAGGAGGAUUAUGACAGGUUGAGAGAAUCAAUUGACCUGCACGAUAACUUUGAUCAGAUUGGCCUCGCUCAGAAGGUAAAAAUUUGUUUUCUCUACCUAGUUGGUGCUUACUUUCAAAAAUUUCAUGCUGUUCUGCUAAAUCCGCUCUUGCAAAAUGUGGUUAGACUGAAAAGCACGAGCUUCUUGAGAUGCGGCGCAUUGCUGCAUACAUUUACAAGAAGGCUGGCAGAUGGAAGCAGUCUAUCGCACUGUCCAAGAAGGACAAGCUGUACAAGGAUGCCAUGGAGACGUGCUCCCAGUCUGGUGACCGUGAGCUUUCAGAGGAGUUGCUGGUGUACUUCAUCGAGCAGGUCUCUGCCGAUUACUCUACCAUCAUAUUACGUUUACUUAAACGAGAUCCCCACAUCAAAAGAAGAAUCCUGGCUACUUCAUUUAAGCGCUUUCAUGGCAUAAUUUUUUUUUUUUUUUCAAUGCCUUAGAACCACGAACCAGGAUGAUGCCUGCUACUCCCCUGUUUGAUUUCCCUCCCCUCCCAUUUCCGUUUGAGCAGUAGCUAAGCGUGCUCGUCGGUUUAUCUGCAGGGGAAGAAGGAAUGCUUCGCGUCUUGCCUCUUCAUUUGCUACGAUCUGAUUCGACCAGAUGUGGCUCUCGAACUGGCCUGGAUGAACAACAUGAUCGAUUUCGCUUUCCCGUACCUUCUCCAGGUAAAUGCCAUGGAAACGCUCGGUAGCCUCCACUUACGGCUCAGCUUCUGUGACCCCUUCCUCCUCACCCAAGUCCCCCAUGCUUGCAGUUCAUCCGCGAGUACGCCGGUAAGGUAGACGAGCUCGUGAAGGACAAGCUGGAGGCCCUCAGCGAGGUGAAGGCCAAGGAGAAGGAAGAGAAGGAGAUGGUCGCCCAGCAGGUAGCGAGCUGUUUUAACCCCCGCUCUCCUCGUCUGCUACUUCGUCUUCAUUUUUUUGCUUCAGUCAGGAUUGCCCUCCAUGAACGUCCUUUGUGAAAUUCUUCUACCCGCCUUCUUCCAGAAUAUGUACGCACAGCUCCUGCCUCUCGCCCUGCCGGCUCCCCCGGGCGUCGGCGGCAUGGGCGGCCCCUACGGAAUGCCGCCGCCCAUGCCCGGCAUGGGGAUCCCCCCGAUGCCGGCGUACGGUAUGCCGCCGAUGGGCGGCUACUGAUCGCAGCCUCGAGGCCCGUCAUCUUCUUCUCCGUGCAUUCACUGAGCAGCGUGGCAAGCUUCGGCCUCGGUAACCAACCAAUAAUAAUAUCCUAUUUGCAGAAUCUAUCUAGGGCUCACACUCCUCUCUUCAUCUUUCGUGAAGGCUCUUAGAACCCCGUGGCUCCCGUUUGAGGCUCGGCUUGGCCGUCUUUCUUCUUUUUUUCCUCGAUCGGUUUCUCUCGAGAACAUAGGCUUCUGCGGCUGUGAUCCUCCUGCCGUCUGUGGAUUUGCUGUGCAUACGACUCUGAAGCUUUUAAUGGCAUAUAUGGUGUUCUUCUCCGUGCUCUUCUUCUGCCGCCCGGUGGUGGAUGCGUCUCCAUUGCUGCUACAAACGCCGCGGCAGAAGUCGCCGGUUAUCUGCCAUGUUGACUAUCCCAGCUGACUGACCCUCGUUUAAAUCUGAUGUCAACCGCGCUAAGAAGACACCGGCUAGCCAGCACCGUGUUUUGACUCGGAAACAAGGGUGGAUGAGAGUCAACUACCCUAAGAACGUCUCGGCCUCGGCUGUUUCAUCCUGGUCGUAAAUCUGCAUAUUUUACCAGAUACCAGUCACAGAAAAAAUCAAACAAUGAAAAAUGUUCUCAUUUAAAGAGCCUUUUUUUUCUAUCCGGGAUUUGACUGACAGACUUAUUGGUCAACCGAGCGCCAGGAGAUUCCGAUAGGAUCUACAGCGGGACCUUUAAUUUAUUUAUCAGGUGGGAGGGGAGACAGACAGGACGGCCCAGCAGAGACAGAGCCCUUGGAAAUGGCAACUGAGGGCGACAACCCCUGGAAUGAUCGGCCACGGGUUCUUUAAAAACGUUCAAAGCCGUUGCUUAAUAUGCGGGUUAUUUACCUUGCUUGCUGCUCGAAUUCUCUCUCUUCAUGUCGGCCCCCUGGCGGCUGGUUCCGGCGACCUCCCGUGAUAUUUAUUUCUAGGGUUCCCGAUGCCUCUGCCGGAACCCACGGCGCGCAUGAAGCGUGAAAUCUACGGUCUGGUCUCGACGUUCGGCUGUGAUGGGACGGCAGGGGGAGGGGGCGGCGCCGCCUGCUCCACGCGUUAACGUAUGGUGCACCGGGAGCAGGAAUUUUUCUAACCUUUGUAAAUUUAUGGAGCCAAGGCACCGCCAACGGUCGAUGACGUGAGGGGGCCGCAGCGAGUCACGUUCCUUGUCGCCAUCUGAUCCGAAAUCUAUCCCCGGGCCUCACCUGAUGCCAGUGACGUGAUGUCCUUUCCCUACCACCUCUCUCUCUCUCUAUCUCUCUCUCUCUCUCUACCUCUGCUGUGACCCUGAAACCCGGACGCGGGAGGCGGCCGCCAAUAGCGCUUGUGAUCAGAGCACGCACUCGUGUGGUGAAGACGUUUCAACGCUCCACCGACACAGUGGUCGAGAUAGCGCAAUGGUAGCAAGUCCCUUACGUCAGCUCCGCCGCUUUUUCCAUCGUCAACGACGGAGGGCAACACGACCCUCCGUGCAUUCCUGGAACUCUCUACGUGUCAAGCGAAGAUGUUUCGGCAGAAAGGUCAACGGGUCUGCUGAAAGGUUUUUGUUCCAUCGGGGGCACAUUUGGUUCCAAUCUGAUCGGAUCUUCUUCUUCUCCAAGCUGCGGCGCCUCUGGAGAGCUCGAGGGAUCCGAUGCUCUGGGAACUCCCCGGCAGGGUUCCAGACCGGAAGCGCCACCGGGUAGACUUCUGAGGUCUCCAGGGGGUCCAUAAGCCUGUCGACUUCAAGCCGACGUGACCUGUCUCUUGAGCAGGUCUCUGCGAUCCGCCGUCGACGGUGGCCCGCCGCCGAUCGAUCAUCGGCGGGCGGCGCCGGAAAGGGCGGUUCCGUGGUUAAUCCUCCGCCGUCAUGUUUCGCGCAAGCGGCGCCCGAAAGCGAUUGGGGAGAGCGCCGGUGCGGCGCCAGAAACGGGCGGGCACGGCGGCUGCCCGCCGGAAGCUCUCCUCUUCCAGUUUUCGGCAGAGACCCCACUCGCGCCGGCCGUAACAGGCCGGACAGUGCACGAGCAUCCCCCGGCGGCGGUCGCCCGCCUUCUGGCAGAUCUUGGUCAGGCCGUCUCCCAUCUUCCGGCGAUGGCAGUGUCAACGCAGGACAAUCGCCCGGCACUGAUUCGAAGAGCUCGUCAAACGGGUUCUGGACAGGGUGAAAGCCAGACCCCGUGGAUAGAUAAUCCCCGCAUAAAAACUCCAACUUGGCGACGAUCAUUCGCCGAUUUUUCCUCCUGGUCGGUAAAAAUCACGGCGCCCAGCUUUUUCUUUAAACUGUAAUGCCGAGAGUUAAUCGACGCCCUCGAUCGGGGAGGAAAUCGGGAUGCGGGUGAGAGCAACGGGGGUCGCCCAAUCGUUGACGGGACCGCAAGGCGCAAUCCGAGAGUGACAGAUCGGCGGCGAACUCACUGUCGCAGCCGGCCGCCGCGUUGGGAUCGGGUGGAAAGGGAGGGUGAAAGGCUCCCAAAUUUACCUCGGCGGGGGAAGCCCCUCGGCGGAGAUGGUCCCGCCUUCAAAUAAUACGCCUCAUUGAAUGCGUUUCACAACUCCCUGGACGGACUUCCAACUGCUGAGAGCUCUUCCCUCCCCCACUGGCCACACACUGCCCACAUUUCCGUUCCUCCGCCCGUCAAAUCCAGCCUUCUUCUCCUUCUUCCUCGCAGCACCCCCCCCCCCCCCCCGUUCUCUCUCUCUCCCUCUCUCUCUUUCUCUCUCCUCUCUCCCGCCCUUCUCUUGGUGUAUCAGUCAGUCGAGCGCAAUGUACUCCGGAGUCCAGCCCCGCGCAGCGGCAGAGGGAUCGAGCUCCAGGGUACAUUCUCCACACUCUUGCUUUCGAUUCCGGUGGUUAACCCAGUCGAUUGGAGCUCCUCGUCUUCUCCCCGCCGGCCUUCUCGGAGGGGCACACUGCGUGUCACUGUGCCGGCUGCUGAAGCUCUUUCUCUGCGAGCCGUCGCGGAUUCCGUUGCCCUGCCGGUUCCUCUCUGCCUACCACGUCUGCAACUUCUGAGAGCUUGUUGUUGCUGGUUUCUUGGUCAAAUUGGAAGAAUGGGGGGAACACCCGCCACGGUUUCUCCCCUCCUCAUGUCUCGAUGAUCUACUAGGGCUAGCCAGAUCCUUUUUUCCUCGACGAGCUUCUUCCAUGCUCGCCUCCGGCGCAGAUUCGUUUUCCCCAUUAUUUUUCCUCUCAGGAAUCUGGGGCACUGUAAAUCGCGUGAUUCAUCCGAAGCUUUAUCGUUUUAUAUCCAUCCCGGCUCGCAUUAUGAACACAGAAAAAAUUCGAUCGGAGACCCCCUUUUCCUCAUCUCCGUUCCCCAUGGAUGCGAACUCAGGCGUGACCCGGGUAACCUCUCUGUUCGACCAGCAGCCCAAGAAAUCCCCCUGGAAGGACGUGCUGCUGCUCUCCUAUCAGAGUCUCGGAGUUGUCUACGGCGAUCUGAGCACCUCCCCUCUCUACGUCUACAAGACGACCUUCUCCGGGAAGCUAAGCCUCCAUGAAGACGACGAGGAAGUUCUCGGAGUGCUGUCCUUCAUCUUCUGGACCCUCACUCUCAUCCCCCUCUUCAAGUACAUCUUCAUCGUGCUGUCAGCCGACGACAACGGCGAAGGUACAGACCCCGCCUGGUUUUUCUUCAUCAAGAAUGGAUUCACCUCUCUGCAGGCUUCAUCAACAUAAGCAACCAGCAAGGCUUUCUCUCCUGAACAUCAACAUGAGCUUCACUCUGGUUUUCUACUAAAUUUGCAGGUGGUACCUUUGCACUGUACUCACUGCUGUGCCGCCAUGCGAGGCUAAGCCUCCAACCCAAUCAGCAGCGCAUUGAUGAGAAGCUGUCUUCUUACAAGGCGGAGGUUGGGGUGGAGACCCGGCAGAGCUCCAGGAUCAAGGGGUUUUUCAGUAAGCAUCCGAGAUACCGGCAUGGGCUGCUCAUCGUGGUUCUCUUCGGAACCUGUAUGGCCAUUGGCGACGGGGUGCUCACGCCGACAAUAUCAGGUUCCCUGCCGGCGAGAUGAUUUACCUUUUUUUUUUUUUGUUAACGUUUCAAGAUCUCCGCUGAUUGAUUUCUUCGGUAAAUUUCCGUUUAUUCCGCUUUUUGGACGCUCUAGAACAUGAUUUCCGGCACGAUUCCAGUCGUCUGCGAAGAAUUCCAUGUGGAACAAAUUCAGUCAUCUGUGAAGAAUUUCUUCCAUCUGUGUCCUAAACCCUCCCCCCGGAUUGAGCAUUUGAGCUUUUGUCUGAAGAAUUCAGAGUGCAGUCCCUCUGAACCUCGUGGUUUUUAUUAUAUCCAUGAGCUCAAAAAGGCAAAUCCUUUGAAGCUUCUGAAGGCGCGAUUAAAUUGGGUCAAGUCCCUUGGAGAGAGGGAGCGAGAAGGAUACGACCCACGUCGCAAAUUAAUGAUUCUACGUGGAAAUCAGUUCAGAUGGGAAUAAUUGUGGGUUUGGUUCUUCUGGGUGGCCUCCAUAUUUUACAUAUUAACUUGGUUUUUUCAUAAUCGGCAUUAUAUUUUCUCUUGAAUUCAUCCUCUUCUCUUCACAGUUUUAACGUUUCUAUGUUUUUUUUUAAUUAUUUUUCCCCAGUUCUUUCAGCGGUAUCAGGCGUGAGGGUGAAGCUGACGCAUCUGCACGAAAGUAAGUCAACCUCCUGCUGCAGCCAAGAGUGCUCAGAAUCGGACAUCUCCCGCGUAUAACGAUCCAACUCGCUUUUCAGACUAUGUUGUGGCGAUCUCAUGCAUCAUCUUGGUGGGCCUCUUCUCUCUCCAGCACCACGGCACCCACCGGGUCGCCUUCAUCUUCGCUCCGAUCGUUGCAGCCUGGCUUCUCUGCAUCAGCUCCAUCGGAGUGUACAACAUAGCCCGGUGGAAUCCGGGCAUAUUCCGUGCCAUUUCACCCUCCUACCUCGUCAGGUUCCUCAGGGCCACCGGGGCCGAAGGAUGGGUUUCCCUUGGAGGGGUCGUUCUCUGCAUUACAGGUAAGAUCAGAUAGAUUACCUUCUUGUACAUAAAUAGAUAUAUAUAUAUAUAUAGAUAGAUAGAUAGAUAGAUAGAUAGAGAGAGAGAGAGAGAGAGAGAGAGAGAGAGAGAGAGAGAGAGAGAGAGAGAGAGAGAGGAGGAGGAGNNNNNNNNNNNNNNNNNNNNGAGAGAGAGAGAGGAUGAAUGAAGAAGGGGGGGAAUGACGUUCUGCGACGUAUUUUGUUCAGGAGCGGAGACCAUGUUUGCUAAUCUGGGGCAUUUCUCGCCGACUUCAAUAAAGGUAGCGCCUUUUCCCAUCUGGAACAGCAGAGUGUGGAACCCGUUUCCCGGAGCUUCGUUCUAAGGCGGCAACCUUGAGUUUCAGAUCGCCUUCUCCUUUCUCGUGUACCCCUGUCUGGUUCUGGCGUACAUGGGAGAGGCGGCCUUCUUGUCCAAGCAUCACGAAGAUAUACAGAGGAGCUUCUACAGGGCCAUACCAGGCAAGGCGGAUCACCUGAUGAAGGCUGCGCGAGUUUAACCUAACUGCCUGGCGUGUUUCCUGAUUCAUAGAAGCGUUUGUGGUGCAGAAACUGUGUUCUGGCCGGUUUUCCUGGUGGCGACCUUGGCGGCUGUCGUGGGGAGCCAGGCGGCGAUAUCGGCGACCUUCUCGAUCGUGAGCCAGUGCUGUGCGCUGAAUUGCUUCCCCCGCGUGAAGAUCAUUCAUACGUCGAAGAAGAUAUAUGGACAGGUCUACAUCCCCGAGGUCAACUGGAUUCUCAUGUGCCUCUGCUUAGCCGUCACCAUUGGGUUGAGGGACACCAACAAAAUCGGCCAUGCUUAUGGUACGCCCUUCAUCCUCCUAUGGAAAAAUUUUCACUAUCAUCUCUCUCUCUCUCUCUCUCUCUCUCUCUCUCGGGUUCCUUCAAGCUUACGAAUCAUCUCUCUCUCUCUCUCUCUCUCUCUUGCUGGCUUUCAGGGCUGGCUGUUUCGAUGGUCAUGUUUGUGACCACUUGCCUGAUGUCUCUGGUCAUGAUAGUCGUCUGGAAGCAGAGAAUAGCGUGGGCCGCUCUCUUUCUGGUGUUCUUCGGAUCGAUCGAGAUGCUCUACGUCUCGGCUUCGACCGUGAAGAUCCCAGAAGGGGGAUGGAUCCCUCUCGCGCUGUCCGCGGUGUUCAUGGUGAUCAUGUACGUGUGGAACUACGGCACUCUGAAGAAGCACGAGUUCGACCUGGAGAACAAGGUCUCCAUGAAGAGGAUCCUCGCUCUGGGGCCCAGCCUUGGGAUGGUCCGCGUCCCCGGGAUCGGCCUCAUCUACGCCGAUAUAGUCACUGGUUUGCCGGCCAUCUUCGGCCACUUCGCCACCAACCUCCCCGCCUUCCACCAGGUCCUGGUUUUCGUCUGCGUGAAGUCCGUUCAGGUGCCGCACGUCUCCGACGAGGAGCGGUUCUUGGUCGGCCGCCUCGGCCCCGACGAGUUCAGAAUGUUCAGGUGCGUGGUGAGGUACGGCUACAGGGAUCUGCAGCAGGAGAACCAUGACUUCGAGGCCCAGCUGGUCUCCAGAAUCUUGGCCUUUGUGGAGAUGGAAGGAGAGGACUGCAUGGUGGUCUCCAGGGGGAGGUAUCUCUCCGAGCUGGGGGCGAUCUCAGAUGGCGACAGUCUCUCAAAUCCGGCGCUACCCAGUCCGGCGGGAGGCGGCGGAAGCCCCGGCCACCACCGGGCCGGUGACAUCGAGGUGGAGAAACCAGAGGCCCCCGGGUUGGCAGAGUGCUCCUCCAUCACCAAGGACGAGUCUGUGGAGAUCCUCAGGGCCAGGGAGUCUGGAGUCGCCUAUAUCCUCGGGCGCUCCCACGCCAAGGCAAAGAAAUCAUCCCCCUUGAUCAAGAAGAUCGCCAUCGAUAUCAUCUUUGGCUUCCUCAGCAAGAAUUGCAGGGGAUCUGAGGUCGUUCUGAACGUUCCUUACUCUUCGGUUCUCGAAGUCGGCAUGGUUUACUACAUCUGAUUCCAGGAAGAAGAGGAUGAGAGAGAGCUUCAGACGACGCAGAGAAUCGUGCCCCGUCUCCCCGAAGAACCAGGAGCGUUUCUUUCUUCUACACAGGCGCAGGAGACGAAGAGCAGCAUGCCCCCACGAGCUUCCAUAGGGUUACAAAUCCCUGAGAACCGAAGAAGACGGGGAUUGCCUACCUCUUCUUGUCUGGUUUUGCAGAGCCCUAACCGUGUGAUAUGUCUUGUAAAGAAGCUUUUAUGACAGGAAAAAGCGUCAUCCAUCCAGAUCGCUACGCGAUCUGUGCAAGCUUAGAUUCUUCGCUCAUCGCGGGUCGCACCCCCAGAUCUUUUUUCGGAGAAAGAACCGUAGACAGACUACGAUGAAUAAAGAAUCAAAUGAUGAAUGAUGAAUAGGUGUGGAAAUGAAAGAACCAGCUUCAAUCGAUCAGCAGGCCAACAUGGCCUUGAACUCCUCGAAGCUAAUGACCCCGUCCCCAUUCAGGUCGAACCGGCGAAUCAUGGCCUUACAGUCCUCGAUGCCCGAGGAGUCGCCCAGCCGGCCGAGCGCCGUCCGCAGGCUCGUGGCGGUGAUGUAGCCGCGGCCGCUCAUCUCGUACACCCCGAAGGCCUCCCUCAUUUCCCUCUCCCUGUCCUCCUCCUCCUGCUCCUCGCUCAUCAGCCGGGCGAAUUCGUCAAGCCCCAGCAGCCCGUCGCCGUCAAAGUCGGCGGAACCCACGAUGUCGGCGGCGUCUUCCAGGGACAGCUCCAGGCCGACGCUCUUCAUCCGCGAGCACAACUCCGCCGGCGAGACCUUGCCGUCGCCGUCCUCGUCGAAGCGGCGGAACACCCUCUCCAGUCCUCCGGCGGACGACGAGCUCGAGCAGGGUUCUCCCGUUGCCGUGUUCUCUCCUGUCCCAGAUGGAGAUUUUGCGGCGCAGCCCAUCCUUUAUUCCCCGAACCGGAUCGGAAGUUCAUCAUAUAUAGAGAUUGGAAUCUGGAGAUCGAACCUUCCGGGAGAGAUGACAGAAACAACCAGGAAGGUUAUUACACGCGUCGAUCCCGCGCUAGUCAAUCUUGCUGACGUUUCAGUGACACGUCAACCGUCGACAGCCGCCGUCUCAAAACGGCGCGAUCACAGCUUCUCGAAACGAGUCUUUAAUAAACCAUAAUUUUGAGAAAAUAAUGUAAAAAGAUUACCACGCCGAAGAUCAGAAUUCAAUGGAUAUCUCUCUAGACUCGAAUAAAUUGCCCUCUUCCCUCUCUCUACGCCAACCUCACGACGACAUCUUUGGGCCGUGGAUCGAAUCACAACUCAUAGCUCGACCAUACUCUCUCUCUCUCUCUCUCUCUCUCUCUCUCUCGCUCCCUCCAUGGUGUAUCUUCUCUCUCUCUUCUCUCCCUUGUUCCCAUCCUGGAAACCCAAUCAUGUCCUGCAGCGCGCCCUCCCUUUCAGCUCUCCUUCGUAAUUGCCGGCGCAGGUAUUCCUUCUCCGCUCUCACUCCUCCCUCCCGUAUCUCUCGCCGCCGAAGCUGAACCCCUUUCCCCGGCCCCGUUCGACGACUGCCCGGCCGGCAGACAAGACCUUCGGUCUUCUUACGUAUAUCCUUUAGGACUCCUCAGUCUGACCGUGAGUCCUGGAUGGAGAUUCUGCAGAAGUGUGAAAUCCAGUAAAACGAUCUACAAAACUGCACGCCAGCAGCAACUGGCCGUAUGCCGCGGCAAGCUGGCCGGAUGUCUUAGCCCACGAGUCGGCAAGUAGUGAUGAAACCUGCUCUUCCCCCCCACAGAUGGAAGACGAGGUGGCAAACCAACGGGGGCACGCAGCUGAAAUGGCAAGCACCUCGCCGUGCCCGCGCGGGCGGGACAGGAGAGCCGGCGUAGUAUGGCCGUGGGCGGUCGCCGCCGCUCCCACGGUACCGGCGUCCAUAUGAUUCGACCGCCGCCCGGUUUGGGCGCCGGCCGAGACUUGAAUCUGCGUAAGGCUCCUGGUGUCGUUUUGCCGACGCCCACAGAGUGAGGUCUUCCCUUCCUGAUCCCCCCCAGUGGAGCCCGAAUGAGAGCCAUCUCAGCUCAGCAUCAGACAAUAUCAGUCAGCUCGAUUCAGGUUUAUUGUCCUGAUAUCAGCUCAAUAUCAGGCCGCUACAGCUCUCUAGAAAGUAACAGAUGAUCGGCAUCUUGAUUCGCUCUUUGCUUCUUAUUGGAUCCUCGUGAAAAGGAGGACGAAUGAAAUUUAAGUAAAAAUAACUUCUUUAGGUGCAGUGGCUGAUGACUAUGACGGGGGAGAACCUUCCGUCUUCUUCCCCACUUGUUCACAUCUAUUCCGUGGACAGAAAUUGAAUUCAAAGGCGAGGGGAAGGAGGCCUUCACGUUCGGAUUCUCUUGCUUACGAUCCAGAACGCAGGAAAGCGAUUUCGAAGAAAAAAGAGAGAGGAGGAAGGAUCUGAACAUGCCGGGCGGCUGGGAGCCGAUCCCGAUUGCCGACGUCCGAGCUUGUGUGGCCUACGCGCGAGCUCUGCUCAUGUAGCUCCUCACCUCCUCCGCGAUCAUCUCUCGUACUAUUGAUAGCAGGGACAUUUCCUCCACCUCCCACCCGCUCCCCUGCUUCUUCGCGCCGCCGCCACCGCCGGCGGCGGCGGCGGUGGCGGCGGCGGACUCAUUCCUGCUUGGCGGACUCAGGGACAAGGACGUCAUGGGCUCCCGUUGUAGGUCCGUCGGCGCUUGCCCCGCCGACAUAAACGCCCCCCUCUGGCAACGCCGUUUCCUCGCGGAGUCCGAGUCCGAGUCGGAGACGUCUUGCUCGGAGGAGUUUGGGGCCGAAGAGGGGGAGCGCUGCGAGGUGGACUCGGACGGCCUGCGGCGGCGCAGUGUGGAGUUCCAGUGAUUCUUGACGGAGUUGUCCGUGCGGCCCGGUAGCAGACGCGCGAUGGUAGCCCACUUGUUCCCGUACAUGGCGUGUGCCGCCACGAUGGUCGCGUCUUCGGCGGCGGUGAAGGGCCGGUGCUCCACGGCGGGGCUCAGCUGGUUGAACCAACGAAGGCGGCAUGACUUGCCGGAGCGGCCGGGGAUGGCUGUGCUUAUACCGCUCCAGUUACGCGGACCGUGGCGGUGGACGAGCUCGACAAGCCGUGCAUCCUCGUCGGGGCUCCAGGAUCCCUUACUCCGGCGGCCGUCUCCAGCGCCGCCACCUCUCACGCCAUUUUCUACUUCCAUAUCCGGCUUCCUCUUCUUCUCCUCCCGCUGCGCGACGAAGUGGGUCUUCAGUCCCCCGUCUCAGCGGCCACCGUUUUUCGAUGAAGUACUGUACUCCUCCCCCUCUUCGUUUCCGACCUCCGUUUCUUCUCUUUUAUCUGCACAAAUUAUAUAUAACAGACGAUGGGAAGGGGGGAGGUUGCAGACGUGCAGUUUGGUCUAAAGUGGUGGACUUGGUAGCGCAGUCUCGAUUCAAUGCGACCGUUUCAUUCUUGUGGGUGGUGUGUUGGUUGGUUGGCGUAAAACCAAACUCGCAAACCGCGUGGAUCUCCUCUCUCUCUCUCUCNNNNNNNNNNNNNNNNNNNNCCUCUCUCUCUCUCUCUCUCUCUCUCUCUCUCUCUCUCUGCCCUCAGCUGACGUUGAGUGACCGCUGACAGACGAAGCGUCCGAAGAAGGCAACGGUGGGUAUCAAAGGUAGAGUGGUUGACGGGUAGCGGGACUCGGUGCAAUUCGAUACCAAGGAACGAGGAGACGGUUCGUCGUCAUCGUCACCGAGCAGGAAGAUCGCCCGGAAGCGGGCCAAAAAAGCUCGGGCUUCUGUGGCGCCGGUGAGAAGGUGAAACCGUGACAUCAGUUUCCGUUCAUGGGAUCUUCUUGGUGGCCGCCGGUGGCCAGGGCGUACGGAGGACGGCGGGACCGCCAUGACGUCUCGUUUGAGUUGUCGGUUUGGAUGGGAUCGUCGUUCCUACGGCCAUCCAUCGAAGUUAGGUUUGACUCGGAAACCAAAUCCGACACUUCAGCGCCCAAGACGUCAGCCAGGCGGCGGCCCCCUUCCGGGGGAGCGGGCGGCCGGCGGUAGCGGCGCCUUCUAAUGCUCUGCGGAAGAUGCGCGGAGAACCGAAUGACCCAUUGGCACUCGUCCAGAUGGUUUCAAUGCCGGCGUCGGAGGGAUCAGGGGGGAGACCUCGUUGGCUUUGAUCGCCCUGGACGUCAAUGGCGGCAAAUCUCUAUCGUCUAACGACAACAGAUCUUGCACGCAGGUUUCAACGUCAUUAACUAGUUAAGGGGGUUAGUUAAGGGGGCUCGUCAAGGGGUUCACUUGUCCCAGUUAUCAGCCGAACGGAGCAGAGAGGGCGCCUUUCUAUGUCGAUGGCGAUAGGUUAACCAUGGACGUCGGAUGUGGAAUCAGAGUAACACAGGAAGAUUUAACUGCAUAAUUCUUCAUGAAAACCGGACGAAACCGGGAUUAGAUGAGAGGGGCACCAUCAGCGAGAUUAAAUCUGCGGAUUUGAUCGGUCGCAGAUGGUCUACUGAGGAUUAGGGGGGCGGCUGUUGGCGGCGGAGACCCUGGCGCCCCACUCGAGCAGCUCCUUGCUGGUGUCGUUCCUGUGCAGCAUCACCUCUAUGAAGCACAGGCAGUCUUUCAUCUCGCUGGUUGCCGCCUUGAUCGCCCGCAGGAGCUCCUCCUCGCACCGCACCUGGCGGCGCGCCGGGAUUCAGAGCCCACCAAAAUUCAUGGCGUCCGUCACUGAAUAGGGUGGUCCACUGUGCCGGGGAAGGGGUUCACUCACCUUGCAUGUCCAGCACUUGCCGUCGCCGUUGUGGAUGGCGUCCACGAAGGCUGUGUAGUUCCAGUUCUUGAUGACGUUGUAGGGGCCCUCGUGGAUCUCCUCCUCGAUGGUGUAGCCCCCGUUGUUUAAGAGGAAGAUGAUGCUUCUCUGCCGGCUGCGGAUCAUCGUAGAGAUGUCCUGGCAAGUGACCUGCGACCGAUCCGAGCGGAAAAAGGAGAUGGAUAAUCUCGAUAAAGAGGAGAGAAAGAAGACCACAGGUCAGGUGUUCAUCAUACCUGAAAGCUUCCGUCGCCGAUGCAAGCAAUCACCCGCUUCUCCUUCGCAGCCUGGGCGUAGCCGAGCACCGCUCCCACAGACCAGCCAAUGGAUCCAUACUGCAUUUGGAACUCAUAUCUGCCCAACGCGCAGAGGCAACCUACGUGAGCGCGAUGAACAGCGAGAAAGAGGGUGUUUAAAUCUGAUUACCCGCAGCCCUUUGGCAGUCUGAGCUUCUGGCAGUUGAACCAGGAAUCUCCCGUCUCUGCAAUCACCGCAGUCUCCCCCGACAGCAUCGUCUGGAUGUGCCUGAACAGCACGUUGACCCGCAGGGGCUCGUUGGGAUCGCACGCCGGCGGGGCGCCCUCGGGCACGUAGAUCCGCUGGUAGUUCUCGAAAGCGGUCGUGUUCCUCUUCAGCUUCUUUGCCAGAGCCCUGAGGAAGUCCUUCAUCAGGACGCAGCCGAACGCGGGGCCGUCCGUGAUGGUCACGCGCUCGGGCUGGACGAUGAUCGCCUUCUCCUUCUUUAGCAGGAGAGAGUAACCCACGGAGCUGUAGUCGUUGAAGAUGGGGCCGGCGAACAUGUAGGCGUCGGCGGACUCCACGAUCUCGGCGCAGAAGGCGGUGCUCACGGCGCCCCAGUAGGUGCCGAUGAACCUCGGGUGCUGCUCGGGGAACUGCCCCUUGGCCGACGGCAUCACAGCGACGGCGUAGCCGCUUGCGUCGGCGAGCUCCACGAAGGCCUUCCCAGCCCUGGCCACCCUUAUCUUAGGCCCCUCCACCAGCACCGGCUUCACCGCCUUGUUCAAGAACUCCGCGGCGGCCUCCACCGCCGCCUCCAGGCCCAGUCGGUUGCUCAAGCUGCGACCCAAUUACAUCAAAUAACCGAGUAACAUCGUCAACAGCAAAUCGAACACUGUUCUAGGGUAUCAACGACAAUGAUCACUGCCCUAAGAGAGGAGAGAACAAAAAAAAAGCUGGAGCAUAUUUUUUUACUUGGGGGAGAGGAUGUAGGGCACCGGCUCGCAGCUGAAGGUGGGAUGAGGGAUCGUCGGUAAGUUGCAGCUGAUGCUGAGGUACACCGGCUUGCUCUCUUUCAGGGCCGUCGAGAUCGCCCUGUCGACCUCCUCGUGGGCAUCUUCCAGAUUAUUCACCACAACCUGCAUCAGUUCAAUCACGGCCGCCGUGAUGCCUCCACCUCAGUUUUCCUUUUCCUUCCUAAUCUACGGAGCGGAAGACGGUGGGAGGGCCGGGGGAACCUGAUGACAGGUGACAGUCUGAAAGCACCGGAGCUCCUGGCUGAAGUCGGAGAGGCCGACCGUGUGGUGAAGGAUCCUGUUGGUUCCGUAGUCGUUGGAGUUGGGCCCCCCGACGAGGCAGAUCACCGGCAGGUUCUCACUGUAAGCGCCGGCGAUGGCGUUGAGGACGCUCAGGCCGCCCACCGUGAAGGUGACCACGCAGGCGCCGACUCCCCGUGCCCUCGCGUACCCCUCGGCGGCGUAACCGGCGUUGAGCUCGCUGCAGCAGCCGACGUUGUUCAGCUCGGGCUCGGCGAUGAGCUGGUCGAGCAGGGUGAGGUUGAAGUCUCCGGGGACAGAGAAGAUGUCGCCGACGCCGAUCUGGACGAGGCGGCGGGCGAUGUGCCGGCCGAGGGUGGCCUCCGACCGAGAGGCGGCGAGGGCGGGGAAGACGGUGGGGCUGUGGCUCGCGGGGAGCGCCCCCACCGCGUUGGAGGCGGAGCUUACCGCGUCGACGGCUCCGACGUGGGCGUCCAUCUACCUCUCUUCGCCGUCGUCGGAGCAGAAGAAGAAGACCUCCCGGGAGGGAAAGCGUCGACUAUGAUGCCGGAUCCUCUGCUUACGUGUUCUUCGCUUCUCUCCAGGUGUCACUCGAACAGCCCUCCGGUACACAUGAUUCGCCACGUGUUUAUGUCCGAUCCCGAUCCCGAUCCGAGCCGGAAUCGGACGAUUCACCGUACCAUGAUAGUGUGUGCCUGGCUAUGAGAGACCCCCCCCUUCCUCUCCCCGUUUGCGGCAUCUUGCAACGUCUCCCGUUUCCGACCCGAUCGCAAGCAGCGCUCCUUCCGCCGGAGCUCUGCUGGCUCCAUUCGGUUUCCGCUGACAACUGCAGCCACACGCGACGUCAAUCGUAGGGGACAGCGGUGUCCACAGUCGAGAGCACCAGCAUUAUCCGGUAAAUCGCCGUCCGGCCUCAUACUACGACAGGUGUUCUUCCUCAUGCAUUUUCCGCUUUCUUUUCCGUGGUAAAUGGUCGGCAAACGUGGAGGGGACUCCUCCGGCGCGGGUGAUUUCCGUUUUAUUAUCAUCUUCCUGAUCUGGGAACCCCUACGAACCAAAUAUUGUUCCAUGGAGAUUCGUUCCUGAUGGACGGAACAGAGAUUUUUCCUUUGAAAUUUUAUUCUCUAGGGCCCAAUUUUCUUCCUCGUAUCGGGAUCGGCCCUGCAAUAUAUUAGUUCCGCACACAAAUUUCCAAGCGUAGAAUGAGGUUUUGUGCAGAAUCGUGAAUAGACACACAUCAAUCUUUCGGAUUUGCGCCUGUUUGACGGGUGAGGGAGAAAGAACCCGGGGGAAGGGGGAAAUGGGAGAGGGAUAAUUUACACCUCGUCAUGGAGUUUCGCAUACUAUCGCUUAAUAUAUAAACAUACUCAAUCCCGAAUUUGGUUACCUGGGUAUAUUUCUCAUACCCUUCCAUUCCAUGGCUCUUAACAGUUGGUUGCCAUUAGGACCGUUAGUUCUAAUUUUCAUUAGAUCUCACAAAAACAAUUAUAUCUGGUGUGGAUCCUUGAAUCUCGAUUCGAAACAUUAUUAUAUUAUUGUCCGGCAAUUGCACCUUUGAUUGAUUUUCCAUGUUGCUAUUCCUUGUCCACCCUUUCAGCCUCACCAGCACGAGUUGCGCAUUUCUGCUUCGGAACACCAUUCCUGAUGAUAUAUUCCCACCAAAUCGACUUGAAAUUUGAUUGAUCUUAUGAUGCCCUUAAUGAUAACAGAGAAGAAACACUAAGGGAACUGUGAUAUUUUGAUUCAUUUAUCUAUUUUUCUGCUUUUGCCUUCUUGUGCAUGUGUUUGAUAUGUCCAAAAUAUUGAUGGCGACAUGAAUCAGGGGCCAGUUCAAGAGUAAGAACAGAAAUAAUGUACGAAUAACUGGUAUUUACCGUCGACCGUUUCAUUUUUUUAAAGCUGUCGAAGGGAAUAACUUCUGAUAAUAGAAGUUUCGUAAUGGAGAACAAAAAAUGCACCAUGUAACAUGCAACAAUUAUUUCCAGGGGACUUGUAAACAUCCAGCAUGUAGUUACCUACUUAUAUCUUUAGUUGUCUGAUCUCUCAACAUACUCAUUCUCCCUAUCUUUCAUUUGUUUUUCCAGAAAGUUUUGAUUUGCAAUGGCAAACCGAGUGCAGAUACCUACUAACAACUCAGCGCUUAUAGCUAUGAUCGCUGAUGAGGUAUGUCCGUUAUUCAUGUAUGUGGGUUGAUUUUGUUGCUCAAGGCUCGAACGCAAAACCAAAUGACAGCAUUCAGUGUUUAUUGUCUUGCACGCUAUCAGUUUAUUAUUAUUCCCGUCCUGCGUCUUGUUCCCACUUCCAUGUAGUCAUUUAGCCCCACCUUCCGUUUAUGGUUUGGAACAGAAAAUCGUGGUCGAAAAAGCAGGUCCUGGUUAUUUAUGUGCAUGUCCGUUGAUUCUUAUCUCUAUGAUCUUUGGAACCUCCUUUAAUGUAACCUAUCGCCUUGCAUAGCAUGUGUUUUUUUUCUUAUGCAUUUUAUUCUAUUGGGGCAACCGAUGACCUAGUGAGGGGACAAUUAAUGGUGGGGCAUACAAUAUCACAUAAAUUAACAGCUGUACAAAGAUAUUUUAAGUGAAGAUGAGGGAAGAAACUGAUGACCACCUAUGCAAGAGACAACGCAUAGACCACUCUGAGGCAAUCUAAUGAGGAGGAAGUGAUUGAAUAAAUACUGGCGAAAUGAACUCACUUCCACCCUUGCAGUUUGGACAUCCACAAUUGGUUGGCACCACUCAAACAGCCACAAGAGGCACUCUUAAGCUGGAAUUUUACCCAAAAUGGGCUGCACCCUACAUAUAUUGAAUGCACCACAUCUGCGUGAAAACUCCGCAAACCAAAUGACUUCGAUGAGUGAACGACUGAUGCUAAGCUAGUAGAGCAUAAUGGGUAAAUGAGCUUCAGGUUCGACAGAUGUUGGCUUCCAUAUUCAAUCCAACAUUAAAGAAAGAAACUUUCACCACCCCUAGUCAAAGUUAUUAAAUUUCAAAAGAAGUUCAAUGAUAAGGAUAUAAGGAGAGUGCAAAACUAUAUUGGAACAAUGACGUACUGUAGGAGUAGGUCACACUUUUGAGAAACUCAUGGAAACUGAGAUUUCUAAAGUACAUAUGUUAUUUGAAUUUAUGCUAUUUUUUUUUCCUGUUGGGGAAGGUUGCCGAACUUGGUUUCAGGUCGGUGCAACUCAGCUGCAGUUUCUAAGCGUUCAGACAUUAAAUUCUUCUGAAAUAAAUGGAUUCCCCUUUACAUUCCAAGGAUCUUAAUAUUGAGAAUCGAUUCAGCUUGCAAUGUACAUGUCCGUCUGUGUUGUAGUCCGCUUAAACUGUGAUAAAAUUGCUGAAUUUUUCCACCAUCUAACUGAUCUCACCGAACUUUUGACUUUCUUAUGGAUACUCAGAACUUGGCAUCGUUUUCUGGAAAACUAUUAUGAGCCACAACAAGUGGGUAGACUGUGUUUCAAUGGAUAUUUUGUCCCAGGCUCGAUUUGGUCAUGCUCAUGGAAAUUUUGAUUCUUUAGCUGCUCUAAGAUAGUUUUAUUUAGAUUUCUGUGUUCAUAUAGAUUAGAAUGCCAGGUCAGGCACCGGCCGGUAAAUAGGAGAUGCUGCUCUUUUCUGGGCGGUCGAGUUUAAAAGCAUGAAUUUAGUGUUGGUUCUUUUUGCUCUCUUAUACAUGUUUCAUGGGACUGUGCAUGCAUGUAGGCUUGUUAUGCAAUAAUGACUCCCUUUAUCAUGGUUUUGACGGCUUAUUUUUCGUUUAACAGAGGAUCUAAUAUUUCUAAUUUUCUUGUUAGUAGUCCAUUUGUAUAACUUAUUGAUGUACAUUAUUUUCCUCUGGAGAGCUACUAAUAUUUUUUUGUCUCAUUCAUGUAGGAUACUGUGACUGGUUUUUUGCUUGCUGGAGUCGGCAAUGUUGAUUUAAGGAGAAAUACAAAUUAUCUCCUUGUAGACUCAAGUAAGUCAAAGGAACAAAUGUCCCGCUUUUUUGUUGUUUCUUUUUGCCAAAUAUUUUGUGCUGGUGUGAAAAAUGUACUGUCAGUUCGUCCUGUAUGGUUUCUCUUUCAACCUUCUCAAUUAGACCCUUGGAGCCCUGGCGUGGUGCUACUUGAUUCUUCAAGAUUUUCAUAUUUAUAACAUUUGAAAUUCAUUUAUGCAAUGUUGAUUUACUACAUAUUUUUUCUCUCCAUAGCAAACAGAUCCAUUUAUGAUAUUUACUUUCAGAAGCUUUGCUCAUUGUUGAGGGUGGUAUAGUUUUAUAUUUUUAUUUUUUCAUUUUUAAGCAAUAUGUAUCUCCUUGUCAUUAGUCCACAAAAUGAAAUAACAGUUUGAAAUGGAUAUUUAUUUUUGGUCUGUAAUAUCUUCUGAAACCAUCAUAAAGAUUCAAUUGGACUCUGGAUGUGGAUGUCCCGUUUCUCAAAUUUUGAAAAUAACAGUUGAAAUUAUGAUAAGGAAAAAUUUUGAUGCAUUGGACCAUUAAUUAAAUGGAUGUCUGGUACAUCGGAUUUCGUAGGCUGAAAUUGUGUUUUUCCUUUUAGUUUGACAUCUAUAGUUUGGUGCAUCUAGUUUCGGGAUUCCUGUUUGAUAAAUUUCGAGUAUUUCUCAGAUAGCAUAAAAAAUUAGAGUAAUUUACGACACAUUAUAUGUUGUUAUUUUUUUUGGGUAAUUGGUUCCCAUGUUAUUGAAGUCCUUUCUAAAAUAGUCGGUUACUGUUUACAUCUCUUGCUUCUGAUGUUGAUGCCAUAUUGCUUUCUUUGUGAUCCUUUCUGGGCCCACUAUUCUUCUGGGAGACCUGAGGAACUGUUAAUUAUGUUCUUUUAACGCUCUUCUUACCGGCCUGAAAAAGACCUUGACCUCUUGUGGCCGAAUAUGUGGGUCAUCUAUUCAGUUGACCUCUUGUGGCUGGACUCAGUGACAUGAUCGUUUCACAGAGAGUGAUAAUUCGUGGAACAUUUUCUGCACCUUUCCUUCGAUUGCGUCCGUUCAUUUUAGCAGAGGCCUUACAAAAGGGAAAGACAAGCGGAAAUCCUGGAAAAAUAAAAACAAUUUACACAUGCAUCAUUGUAACCCCCAUAACCGCAUAUGUAACCUCAGCGGAUUCUCUUCUAAGUUCCAGUUAAUGGCGUGUAUAUGUUGUACCCCCAGUGCUACCAUAUUUCAUGAAACAACUGUCGAGAGCUCUAAGGCUUCUAGUCACUGUCUCUCUUGAAAACCCUGCCUGGCUUCUGUCCAUUGCAAAUCCCACAGUGAUAGUUUUCUCAAAGUUCUCCAUGCCCUGGACCACUAGCGCCACCUUGGGAGCAAACUGGUCUCAGCAUAAAAAGGAUGGGCUUGCAAGCUGUCAAUUAUGUCUCCGUAAUGUGCUUAGCAUUUGAGUAACCGAGACAGUCAGGAUAGCACAUGUGCGGUUCUUGUCCAUCAGACUCUCAUUUUUGUGAGACAUUUAGCCAACUGAUGCGUUUAUGGAUCUGAGCUCCUUAUCUAUUAUAUGAGUGAUACAAUUCCUAGUUACUCUCUUGACUUGGAUAGACAAUGCACAUUACAGAAGGAAUUUCUCUUGGAUUCAUCUUUUCUUGGCGACACACCCCCAGAGUCUAUGAACGAAUUCAAUGUAAGAUGACAUGGAAUAUAGAGUAAAGAGAAAUCUUUUCAUUUUUGUAAUAUUCUUCUAUACUACUUCUGGCAGUUGCAAAUUGGCAUUGCACGAACUUAGAUUAGAGCCAUCGAUUUUGAAAGCGAUAACCUUAAACAACACUAGAAGCUGUUGACAGAUAUUUACUGCAGUCAAUAUAUAGAAUAAUGUUUUAAUGUGUCAAUAUAUUCUGGUGUGCUUACUUGGAUACAUGCGGUAAGUUUGCCUGGUUUAUCGGUAAUUUUUUGCUAUCCAGAAACUACGGUGAAAGCAAUUGAGGACACGUUCAAGGAGUUCACCACAAGGGAAGACAUUGCUAUUGUGCUGAUCAGUCAGUAUGUAAGUUCAAUAGGAUGGCAUCAUUUGCUUCCCAUAUGCUUAUUUCCCGCAAGAGGUUGUUUUUAUUUCAUUUUAUAAUUAUGUUAGGUUGUGCAUUCUAUUCGGUAGGACUUGUCUAAUUGACCAAACUCAUCCAGUUGUUUCAUGAGACUCAGGCAGAACACUGAGGUUGAAACAGGAACUGAGGAAAUACAUAUGUUUCGAGUUUUCAUUCAAGCAUUAAUUUAUGGCCUUUUGCAUGUUACCUGCAUUAUCUGACGGAAACAAGUUAUUGCAUUAAACAAUUAGAUCAAGUUUCUUAUUUUUAACGAUUUUAUUGUAAUGCACUAUUUUUAUCAGUAUGGUUUAUAGUCAUUUUUUCUGUUCAUCGCAUUCACUACCUAUGGGGAGACGGCUAUUUCUUAUCUCUGAAAUCCGAAGAACUUCAACUAAGAUAUGAUUGAUUAAAAUCGUUUACAACAUAUUCUUUUAGUAAUUAUGGUCAUGAAUUUGAACUGAACUAUUAAGCAUUAUGUAAUCUGGGCUAUGAUUUGAACUCUUUUGAUCUAAGAUCAAGCAAAAAUUUCCAAAACCCUCAGAUUGUUGGAAUGGGAAAGAGUGUUACUAAUCGAUUAAUCAGGUGGUUUUCUCAUUUCUGGGUAUGAACCCUUCUGGAUUCAAUUCCUUGUUCGAAUGAUUCCCAAGGACUGCUUUCAUUGUACCUACCCUUUUGAGGACUCAUGUCAUGCGACCACUCACGUUGGGCAUCUAGCGGAUAGUUUCCCACAAGUAGGAUGAACAAGACCACGAUCUUUCUUUCACUGCUUAAUUUAGCUCUUCAGCCUUUGAUCUUCUCUAUCUGGAGAUGGACGCUCAGUAUUCUUCAUCCGUUGACGGAAAUUACGGAACUCUUUGCUCAGGUGGCAAAUAUGAUAAGAUUUCUCGUCGACAGCUACAACAAGCCGGUUCCUGCGAUCCUGGAGAUCCCUUCCAAGGAUCACCCGUACGAUCCCGCCCAUGACUCGGUUCUCUCCCGCGUGAGGUACCUGUUCUCGUCGGAGUCGGUCUCAUCCGGGCGGCGCUAGCCAUCGCCGCCUCUCCGGGAGACUCGGACACCACUUGCAUAGCGCGAUGGAGGAAUAAAAGCAGACUACCAAGCUCGCUGUUCAUGUAAAACUCCCUUCGACAGAUAUGUAUGCGAUUGAUUGCCCCGUUGACUUAAUGCACCCGUGGGACAUGGCUGCGGUCGUCGUUUCGUGGAAAGCUUCAAAUUUUCAGUCUUUUUCUCUUCGCCUUUUACCUGCGGCCGCCUCCUCGCAGCUCCAUAGCGCCGCCGGCAUUCCGGCUCCUCCAUGGGGCCUCUCCGCGAACAGCUUCACUAACAGCUUGAGAUGCUGAUAGCAAUGACCCUCGCUGACGAGAUCUCCGGUCGGAUGCGGUGGCGUUCGGAUUCCCCGAUGUCACCCGUUUGUACUGCCGAGGGACUGGAGCUGACGUCACUACCCUAUCCUCCGUUGACCUCUCCAAGAAAAACUUGCCCCCCCCCCCUCCCCCAAACAUCGGAAGCUUGACGAUGCUCGAGUCUUUGGAUCUAUCGAAGAACGAGCUUUCAGGGGAGAUCCUCCGGGGCUGGCGUUCGUUGACUUUUAGAUCUAUCUGAGAACCGGCUUGUCAGAGGGAUUCUGCAGGGAAGACAGUCUCCAUAUUUGCAGGAGCUCCUUUCGUAGGCAACCAAGAACUGUUCAGCAGUGGUUGUGAUGUUCUUCCUGCUCCGGGGGCAAAGCGUGGAGAUGCUGCUGUUGAAGAGGGUUCCAUUACUCUCUAAGUCUCUCUUGUAGAAGUGGAGUCAAACGGGUGAUGGAUGAGAUAUUUAUCAGAAGAAAACCAUAAUUUGUCGUAAUUUUAUCUAAAUAAGUAAUGUAAAAAACUAGUGUGAUGGAUGAGAUAUUUAUCAAUUGAAGGUAUUUAUCGGGAUAUACUUGACCUCCUGCAAUUUAACAAAUAUUUGGGCUCGAAGAACAGCUGCUGACUUGUUCUUGAAGAUCUCUCUUUCGCUCAAGUCUGGCUUCAAGUACUCGUUAAUCUGAGUUUAACAUAAAAUAAUGAAACGCUUUACUCCCGUUACGGUUGAUCCCAACUAACACGCCGUGUUAUAUAUUUUACUCGGUGUCCAAUGUUUAAUACGUGUCAAUAUUGAAGCCCACUUGGUACAUGAAUAUUUCCGAUUUCGUAGUUUAAAAAAGAUGUAGAUUAUCCAGAAAUGUCAAAAUCUUAAAUUUAAUUCUCUGGAUCGUUAGACAAACUAAUGGGUCCAAGCAUUGACUUCAACGUCUGGCCCAGAGAACUCGAAGAGGUUGAAGAAUAAUAUCGUAUCAUAUGCAAUUGCAUUGCUAUAAACUUUUCGCUGAUACCCACGUCGAAGUAUCAAAGAUCAAAGCUUUUACGUUCGAGCCUGGCUAGGCAUUCUGGACUAUGAGGAGCCUCUCUCUCUCUCUCUCUCUCUCUUCCCAGGAGAAGGGUGAAGGAGGCAGAAGACGGAUGGAACGCGGCCGAGACAGGCUCGUCUCCUGCCUGCGUCAUCUCCCUUGCGGCGAGGGAGACGGAGAAGGCGGCAUUCCAUUCUUCUUCGUCUUACCAUUACAGCCAGAAGACGACGGCGAGCGGACGGUGGGGUCUUGCUGGAGAUGGCGGCAGUGAAGAGAGAGAACGGUGGCGGCGGCAUUCGCCACGGUUGUGAUGGAGCGAGAGAGAUCGACUGAUAAGCGCCGAAACUCAAGAUGCCAUUUUAUGAUAAAACGCGUAGCGCCGUCACAUCUUCCGACUCCGGGGAACUGGUUCCCCCGUUCGUCUCCUACCUUUCUGCCGCGAAGGGACCACCGCUGCCACGGAUGAGCGUUCCCACAGGGACCCUCCCACACCCACAUCGUCAUCCUCCAGGAGAACCUCUUCCAAUGAUCCACUGGUUCCUCCGGCUCAUCCCCGUCCUACUCGGCUUGGCCGCCUCCUCUCCAAGGUUACCUGCCUCCGGGCAAUGCCUCCUCGACCAGAGCGCCGCACUCCUCCGUCUGAAGCAGGGAUUCGACGACUCUUCCCAUCUUUCUUCCUGGAAGGAAGAUACUGACUGCUGCCGCGGCUGGGCCGGCGUCACCUGUGAAGGGGUGUCGGGUAGGGUCGUCGCUCUGGACCUCAGCGGAUCAUCCAUCUCCGGUGGCGUUGACCCGGCGCUCUUCCAUCUCACCUCCCUUCGAUCUCUCAACCUUUCAUGUAACAACUUGAAUUUCGACUCCAUACCUCCCCGCAGCUUCGAGCAGCUGACCAACCUGACCCACCUCAACCUCUCCGAUUCAGGCAUCUCCGGUAACCUCCCCGUCGGUAUAUCCCGCCUGACCAGCCUAGUCUCGCUGGAUCUCUCCAACCAAGGUUGUUGUUCCCCAUCUUCUCUGACGCUCCAGGAUCCAGAUCUCCACACACUGAUCCGAAACCUCUCCAACCUGCAUCAGCUCUGCCUCGAUGGAGUCAACAUCUCCGCCGGAGGACGCGAUUGGGGCCGGGCGUUGUCUUCCUACGUGCCCAACCUCCACGAACUCAGCCUGUCCAGCUGUUCGCUCUCCGGCCCUAUCGACGACUCCUUCUCCGCCCUCAAAUCCCUUGUCGUCCUCCGCCUGCAUCGAAACAAUCUCAGCACCGAGGUGCCGGAAUUCUUCGGCGAUCUCUCCUCGUAAAGAAUGCUUCGUUUAGACUCCUGCAGCCUCCGCGGAUCGCUCCCGAGAGGAAUUAUCCACCUCCCCCUCCUUGAGACCCUCGACCUGUCGAGGAAUCCCUCUCUAUCUGGGAGUUUACCCGACUUUCCGCCGGGCACCGUUCUGGAAUAACUGUUCCUGUCCGCCACAAAUUUAGCCGGCACUCUGCCGGACUCCAUCGGCAACCUCCGGCUUCUGAAGACCUUGCAACUGACCGCCUGUAGGUUCUCCGGUUCAUUGCCCGCUUCCUUUCAAAAGCUGACGCGGUUGGUCACCGUCGAUUUUCAAUGAAUGACUUCAGUGGCUCCAUCCCUUCCUUCGCGUCGUCCCCCAACAUCUCGAAGAUCGAUCUCCAGAACAAUUCUCUCUCCAGACCAUUUCCUGGAUGGAUCUUCAGCCUCCCAUCUCUCCAGUCCCUGCAACUCAACUCGAAUCGACUCUAUGGAACCCUCCCUGAGCUCCCCCCCCCCGCAGACUCCGUGCUGGAGACUGUGGACCUGACAAGCAACGAGAUUCAGGGCCCCAUUCCAAGGUCCAUCUCGAGGUUGCAGCACCUCAGGAUCCUCAGGCUCGCUUCCAACAACCUCAACGGCACGCUGGAGCUCAGCCUCUUCGGGAACCUCAAGAACCUCUCCAUUCUCGAUCUUUCGUACAAUCGCUUGACCGUCCAGACCAACCCAGCCGCCGCCUUGCCGAACGUCGGCACCCUGAACUCAGUGUCGAGGAGUUCCCGUCGCUCCUGAGAAACCUACUGAGCUUGACCAGGCUCGACCUCUCCGGCAACAACAUUAGUGGUUCCAUCCCCGACUGGCUGUGGAGCGUGGGCUCCCUCGUCUACCUGAAUCUUUCUCACAACUCCCUUACGGGAUUCGAGAGCUCACAAGAUUUUUCCAACAGCUCCUUGAUAAUACUCGACCUCCACUCCAAUAGCCUGGCAGGCCCGAUCCCUCGCCCAUCCCCGUCGAACGUGAUGGUCGACUUCUUCAAUAGCCACUUCGCCUCCUCCAUUCCUUCCGACAUCGGCUCGGCCCUCAACUUCAACAUCUUCUUCUCCGUCUCCAACAACAGCCUCACGGGGGGGAUCCCUGAAUCCGUCUGCAGCGGGAUCUAUCUUCAGGUCCUGGACCUCUCUCACAACAGCCUCGCCGGACAGAUCCCCGGGUGCCUCUUCGCCGGCGAAAUGAACCUCCGCGUACUGAAUCUUCGAGGCAACAAGCUCAACGGAACGCUUGGUCGAACAUUCGAAGCGGGAUGCAAACUGUAGAGCCUCAAUCUCAACGGGAACAUGCUCGAAGGAGCCGUUCCGCAAUCCCUGUCCAGCUGCAGGAGUCUGGAAGUUCUGAACCUGGGGAACAAUCAGAUCGAGGACACCUUCCCCUUCUGGUUGGGGAAUCUGUCGGAGCUGCGCGUCCUCAUUCUCAGAUCCAAUAAAUUCUACGGAUCAGUGUCGAAGCCUCGGGAAGGCAAUUACACCUUCUCUAUGCUGCAGAUCAUUGACAUCUCUGAUAGAUCUGCUCCAGCUCCGCCGUGACACACGGCUUAAUCAGGACCGUCGAUCCAUCGGAGUUAUAACGGUGGAGAAGAGGCCAUGUGGUCAAAAAAUGCCGGCUCACUCAAUCGGCAGUUAGGAGCACUCUCUCUGUUUUUCAUUGGACGCCUAUAUAAAGGGUCCUAUGUGCUCGAUGAAAUGUGUCACCCAUAACUCUCAUUCAUCAAUUCAUAAAAGAUCGAUUCCUUUUCAGUGUUUCUGUUUUUCGCAAAGUUCUUGCGACAGUUACAGGCUUCUUGAAGCCAACAAUCUCCUCCAACCCUCUCAAUGGUAGCUUGCCGUCGGAAUGGUUUCGGAGUUUGAAGGCAAUGACCACCCCAGGCGAGCUCUCCGGGAGGAAGACAGUGGUGGCGUUCAAAUUUCUCUCCCGGUUGUACUGUGUGGACACGGUGACCGUCACGAGCAAGGGGCUGGACCUGGCGCUGGUGAAGAUCCUCACCAUCUUCACCUCCAUCGAUCUGUCCAACAACGACUUCCAGGGGAGCAUUCCGCCGGCGGUGGGGGACCUGAAGGCGCUCCGCGUCCUCAACAUGUCGUACAACCGAUUGUCCGGUCCGAUUCCCCCAAGCAUCGGAGGCUUGACGAUGCUCGAGUCAUUAGAUCUCUCGAAGAACAACUUUUCGGCGGAGAUCCCUCCUGGACUGGUUCGCUUAUCCUUCCUCUCCGCCUUAAAUCUCUCUUACAACCAGCUCGUCGGACGGACUCCAGUGGGAGGACAGUUCUCGACGUUUGGACAAGAUGCCUUCGAAGGCAACGAAGGACUGUGCGGGCCACUGCUGCGGAGGCUGUUCUCGAACGCCACUGAGAGAGGAGCCGGACCCACGAAUUCGGCUCUAGCGUCCUCGUCCUUCGAUAUUUGUAAUUUUCUAUUCAUCGGAGCAGGUUAUGGAGUAGGACUGGGAGCGGUGAUCGUGAUCGUCGCUCCUCGGUGGAAACGCAUAGACAAAUGGGUGAUGAUAAGGUCUCCAUCCCUCUUUCGUUGGCUGGUCCACUGAACCAAAUCUCUCAAAAACUGUCCCGUAGUAUCGGAGGUUUUGUAAACUGGUGAAAGCUUGUGUAUAUUCUCAGGGCUAAAAUACUUUGGCUGCUCUUGAAGAUGUCUCCCCAACGAAUAUAGGUUUAUAUAGAAGAUUAGUUCCAAUAAGUGUAUUCAGGAUAAGACGGGCAUACCCCUGUUACUAUCAAAAAUAUAUUGUGGCCAAUAUUUUGAGGAUAUCAUGGAGCUUUGGAAUGCCCUAAUUGUAGCAGCCUCUAGAGCAUAAAUAUCGCCAUAUUGCUUGGUAACGGUAGCCGAGAGAAGAUUUAUUCUAUCCACUUUCCCUCAGGUGGAGAUAGCAAGAUAGCUCAACAGUAGCUGAAGAUAAUGGCAUAGCGAGUAUAUCUGCUAUUGGAUCUAAAAUAGAAAUAUUAUGAAUUAUAAUCUUUUGUCGAGAAAAAAAUAUGACGAAAGCUCUUCUUGCUCCUCAACAUGCCACUCAACCAGCUGACAAGCCCGAUUCUCCUUAACGUCAGAGGCUUGACGAUCCUCGAGUCAUUGGAUCUAUCGAAGAGCGAGCUAGCCGGGGAGAUCCCUCCGGGGCUAGCGUCUCUUGGCUUUCAAAACUAUUUCGGAACUGGCUCGUCGGAGGGAUUCCGCAGGGAGGACACUUCUCCUCGUUUUCAGAAACUCCCUUCGCAGGCAUCCAAAAACUGUGCAGCAGUGGUCCUGAUCUUCUUUCUGUUCGGGGCAAAGCACGGAGAUGUUACUGCUGGAGAGGGUUCCAUUACUCUAUCGUUGGCUGCCCCACUUAUGACUCUCAAAGGCUCUCUUGUAGGAGUGGAGUCGGACUCUUGUCAUGAGCUUACACUCCACCGUUUGAUAAGUGAGAACAAUAUCAUCAUUUAUCGUAAUUUCAUUCGAAUAAAUAAUAUAAAAAAAUUAGUGUAAUGGAUGAUACAUUGUCUUGGAGGUAUUUAUCUAGAGAUUCUUGCCCUAUUGCAAUCUUGUGAAAUAUUUGCGUUCGAAGGGCAUUGAGUAAGAAUGGAUGAGGAGAAGAGUAUAUAAUAGGCGAUCUAUGGGCGAGGUUAAGGGUAAUUUGGGGAAGGAUGGAUUAAGACUCUUAUUAUUCUCCUUUCCAAGAGACCUACACUCGGAUCUGGUUCUUAGGAAAGCCCACGAAGUAAGGGGAAGAACUCCUUUUCUUUUAACGAUCAGACUCAUAGUGUGUAUCACGGGAGGAUCAAUUGACACUCAACUCGGGGGGGGGCUGGGGGGCGUGGCUAUCCUAUCACUCAAUCAGAGAGCAGCACGGGAUAUUGAAAGAACAAGUCAGGAGAUAGGACGAUACGUAAUUGAGAGUUGAAGUCCUCCCCGCGCCGCCAGCGCUGUGCCGCUGCCAAAACCACCACCCGUCUUCCCACCACCACACCCGCUACGCCGUUCCCCCGAACCACUGGUUCCACCACCCCACUUACUUCGGGUUUAAGCUUCAGCCAGCUGGUGAGCCAGCAAACAGUCAGACUUGGACCAUCGAAAUCUGGUCAAUAGUCCACACUAGUCAAAGUUCAACUCCCGUCAAGUGUCAACUAUCAAUAUUGACGGAACCACCUUUGCCAUGUGCUCUUCUCAGGGACAUUCACAUACUUCAACGAGUGGCGUCUCGAGUUACGGCGCUACGGUCCGUUAUGGCUACUCGUCCCCACGGGAACCCUCCUACACCCACAUCGUCGACCCCCCUCCCGCCUCCUGACGGCUCCCGCGCUCCACCGGAAGAACCACUUCCAAUGAUCCGCCGGUUCUUCCGGCUCCUCCUUGUCCUACUCUACUUGGCCNNNNNNNNNNNNNNNNNNNNNNNNNNNNNNNNNNNNNNNNNNNNNNNNNNNNNNNNNNNNNNNNNNNNNNNNNNNNNNNNNNNNNNNNNNNNNNNNNNNNNNNNNNNNNNNNNNNNNNNNNNNNNNNNNNNNNNNNNNNNNNNNNNNNNNNNNNNNNNNNNNNNNNNNNNNNNNNNNNNNNNNNNNNNNNNNNNNNNNNNNNNNNNNNNNNNNNNNNNNNNNNNNNNNNNNNNNNNNNNNNNNNNNNNNNNNNNNNNNNNNNNNNNNNNNNNNNNNNNNNNNNNNNNNNNNNNNNNNNNNNNNNNNNNNNNNNNNNNNNNNNNNNNNNNNNNUUACAACCAGCUCGUCGGACGGAUUCCAGUGGGAGGACAGUUAUCAACGUUUGGACAAGAUACCUUCGAAGGCAACGAAGGACUGUGCGGGCCACCGCUGCCGGGGGGGUGCUCGAACGCGAUUGAGAGAGGAGCGGGACCCACUGAUCAAGCUCCAGCGCUCUCUUUCUUCGAUAUUUGUAAUUUUCUAUUCAUCGGAGCAGGUUAUGGAGUAGGACUGGGAGCGGCGAUCGUGAUCAUCGCUCUUCGGUGGAAACGCAUGGAGAAUUGGGCGAUUAUCAAGUCUCCAUCUCUCUUUCGUUGUCUGAUCCACUGAACUUACCUUGAAAAGUAUCAUGUAGAAUCGGAGGUUAACUAGUGAACUGGUGCAGAAUUUGUGUACCUUCGCUGGGCUAGGAUACUUUGGCUACUCUUGAAUAUGUCUCUCUACCAAAUACGGGUUUAUAUAUAGAAGAUUAGUUCCAAUAUGUGUAUCCAAGAUGAGAGGGGCAUACCCUGUUACUAUCAAAAAUACGUUGUGACCAAUGUUUUUAGGAUAUCAUGGGCCUUUGGAAUGCCAUAAUUGUAGCAGCCUCUAGAGCCAAAAUAUCUCCAUAUUGUUUGGAAAUAGUAAUCGAGAGAAGCUUUGUUCUUGCCACUUUCCCUCAAGUGGAAGCAACAUCAACUAGUGAUAAGCGUUUGACUUAGCUUAAGACUAGCUGAAAAUAAUGGCUUUGUAAUUACACCGUAAAUUUGAUCUAAAAUAUAAAUUUGAUGAGUUAUAAAAUUUUGUUGAGAAAAAAUUGAACGAAAAGAUAAUCUCAUAUUUUGUGUGGGAAUGAAAAAAAUGGACUGAUAACAAGAAAUUUAGCUCUAAUAUUAUCCCAAGAUAUCAUUCACAACAAAAGUUUAAGAGCUGACCAUUCAUGAAAAGAUGAUUUGAUCCAUAUGAGCUAGGUUGUAAGCUCAAGAUUAUAAUAUUUUGAUUUUGUGCUGAAUCUAGAAACGGUCUCUUGUUUUUCCAAAAUUAAAAAAAGAGGUUGGGAUCAAAUAUGUCAAUGAUUGAUUUCGCUAACAAUAAAAACCAUCAAAUGCAGAGAUACGUGCAGUUGCAUAAAAUUUCAUUGUUUGCUCACAAUGAAAAUAAUAUUUCAUCAACGUUGUCAGGCUGAUAAAAACACCCACAAAAGUACAAUAACUACAAAGAUUUGGAUGAAGAUCAUCAAAAGAAGGGAGAAUCAACAAGGUCAUAGGCAUUGAUCUAAUGAUUGUGUAAGAAAGGAAAUGAGAUCAUUUUUGCAUUAGAAAUUAAUUGUACAAACCAUCAAACAUCAUAAAGAAAUCAAAUAUUAAGUAACACCAACUAAUUCCUUCAUGUGUGAUGUGUUGGCUUUGAAGAGUCGAAGGUAGGAUAGAAGCUGAGAUGAGUUGGUCUUUUUAGAAUAAAACACGGAUUUCUUGAUUUCCUACUAAAUUUGUAAAAGUGAAAAUGUAUAAUGGUUUGACUCACCUUGCCCACUCUAAUAUCUAGUCCUUGGGCCUCACGAAAUUAUAAUACAAAUGAUGAAAGCCAAGGCUUCAAAUAGCCUUAGCCAACUUAAUUAUUUCUUAUAUUAACGCUGCUUAAAGUUUUUACAACUAAAUUCUAGGGGACAAUUAAAUUAACACCUAAGUAAUCAUUUUUAAAUUCAGAACUCCAAGUCUACCCAAGCACUAGCAAUAUUGAUAACAUACUAAUUCUAUAUAUUAAUAUUGUCAUUCCUACAUGAUUUACAUGUAUCCAUGACUAAAACUAACAUGUUGUCCUAACUAAUUCCUUAAUUAUAAAUUCGACAUAAGAAUUUGCAUUUAAGGCAUCUAAAAUAAAUUUUACUAAUUUAUGUUGAAUUACAUAUUUCAUUAAAUAUUUAUUACUUUUAAUUUAUGAAAUUAAAUGUGCUUAAGUUUUAAAUAAUUAAUAAAUUAAUGAUAAAUAUAAUUUAAUAGAAAUAUUAAGAUUUUAUGCAUGAAAUAAUUUAUUGAUCUAUUCAUAUGUGUAACUAUAUUUUCACCAAUAAUUUUAAAUGCUGAAAAUAUUUAUUCCUCUUUUAUCAAAAGCACUAAUAGUUUUUAUUCAGUUUCUAAUUUUCAAGAUAUGAGGAGGGUAGGUGUAAAAUUAUCAUUAUUAUACAAAUAAAAACCAGUUUAUUAUUAAACUGAAUCAAAAUUAGCAUUAAUUUUGAGAAGCAUUUAAUGGGUCAUGAAGAUGUUUGAAUAUUUUGAAAAAUAAAAUUACCAUUUUAUCCUUAAGUACAUUUUUAUCUAUUUCUAAUCUUUCUUUUAGCAAUGUAUACAAGUGAAUCUAGAGCAUUUCUAACAUAAUCACGUUGUAAGUUCAUGAGGAUAUUCCAAUAUUUUAUUCUCUAAAUCUGCCAUUUUACCCUUGUGUACUCUUUUUUAAUUUCAUACCCAUUCAUGGAACAACUUGAUAACAUUUUAAAACUUUUCAGCAUAAACUGAAAUAUAAAUGACUAUUUUAACUUGAUAUCAAUUUAUUCAUCAUCAAAAUUAUUAAAACUUAAAGAUGUCACAAAUAAGAGAAGCUAAAGUGUUGCUAAUAUGUAAGAACAAUCCAACUAACAAUAACUCAACGUUGAUUGCAAUUAAUGUUAAGAUUUUAAAAACCGUGACAAAAAUCUGUUAUAGUAUCUACCAUGAUUUGACAAGAAUUUAUGUGACAAUGACAAUAAACAUUUUUUAUAAUAUUUUCACUACAAAAAAUUCAAAUGUGUUAAAGGCUAUGAUUUGAAACUGGUAGGAAGAGACUUUGAUGGAAAAAUGGAAAAUAUCCAUGAACAUGGCCAAUAAAGUGGUUCACACAUGUGAGACACCUAGAUAUGCAAAUGGAGAAAAAUAGUUUCAAGAUAUAGGUAUCAAAUUAUCCUGAACUAUCUUUAUUGAAUUUUAUAAUGUUUGAUGGAAACCUUUUGGCCAUUCCUUGCAUCAUAAGAAUGCUUGUUGGUAAAAACCAUUUUACCUAUAAAUAUCUCAAUUUUUUAUCAUUGGCAAAUGAAGGUGUAUGACUGAACAACUCCGCAUAAAACUAUCACACUUCAAACUUUUUAUUGCAUAUUUAUAUGUUUAAGAAGGCCAUCUUGGCAUACAAUUACUAUCACCUAAUUAAAUUUUAAUGCAGUCACAUGCACAAACUGUUAAAGUCACCUUGACAAACCAUCAAUUAAUAUUUAAAUUUCCCAAAAAAGAAUAUACACUUUGUCACCUUUUUCAUCGCCAAAACUAUGGCACACCAAAACGUGCUUUAGUUAUGGAGUCCACAAAUCAAAUUUAUAUAAUUGUGGGAUAAUAUAAGUGAUAGAGCUAAUGAGGAUUUUGUGUAAUAAUUCUUUGCAACUUUCUCUUCUUCCGACCCCAAAUCUUAGACAACGAAAGGGGGAGAUUUCAACGCGGUAGUGAUGAAAGAGACACCGGCGGCCGAGUUGGCAACGGUGGCGAAGCGGCGAUUGGGGAUCGCCCGAGUCCCCACACGGUGGUUGCAGCCCGGUUGGAGUCGUACCGGUCCGGAGAUGAACCAUCUUCCAGCCCCCAACCCGGGCCCGGAAUCGGCACGAGUAUUCGCAACUACCAGUAAUCAGACUCAGCGACGGCGAGUUGGUGGUGGGUGACGUGAGUCCCAACGUCAGCCUUGCCGUCUGACAGAUGACAUUUUGACUCUGAAACGCGUAGCGCCGUAGCAUCCGGCAACAUCGGGGCUGAACUCCGGGCAUGGCCGGGGUUCCGUCGGCGACGCCCCACGUGGGCCAUCGCACUCAGCGAGCCGUUCGGCCGGCUGGCGGGACUAUCUGGUCCGUCACCCUCACGCGGUGGCGGUGGCGGCGGGGCUGGAGAAUCAACAUCCGCUCAGCUUCUCCUUCUUUCCCCCUUCUCCCCCUCCUCCCCCUUCCUUUCUCGCAGCCUCGCUUCUCUCCUUCCGUUCGAUUCCGCCUGGCGGAGCACAGCCACCGUGCCGCCGGUAGGCCACCGCCGUCAUGGAUGAGCGUCCCCUCCGGCACCCUCCUACACCCACAUCGUCGUCCCCUUUUCGCCCCUUGACGGCUUCAUCUCUCCACCGGAAGAACCUCUUCCAAUGAUCCGCCGGUUCUUCCGGCUCCUCCUUGUCCUACUCUGCUCGGUCNNNNNNNNNNNNNNNNNNNNNNNNNNNNNNNNNNNNNNNNNNNNNNNNNNNNNNNNNNNNNNNNNNNNNNNNNNNNNNNNNNNNNNNNNNNNNNNNNNNNNNNNNNNNNNNNNNNNNNNNNNNNNNNNNNNNNNNNNNNNNNNNNNNNNNNNNNNNNNNNNNNNNNNNNNNNNNNNNNNNNNNNNNNNNNNNNNNNNNNNNNNNNNNNNNNNNNNNNNNNNNNNNNNNNNNNNNNNNNNNNNNNNNNNNNNNNNNNNNNNNNNNNNNNNNNNNNNNNNNNNNNNNNNNNNNNNNNNNNNNNNNNNNNNNNNNNNNNNNNNNNNNNNNNNNNNNNNNNNNNNNNNNNNNNNNNNNNNNNNNNNNNNNNNNNNNNNNNNNNNNNNNNNNNNNNNNNNNNNNNNNNNNNNNNNNNNNNNNNNNNNNNNNNNNNNNNNNNNNNNNNNNNNNNNNNNNNNNNNNNNNNNNNNNNNNNNNNNNNNNNNNNNNNNNNNNNNNNNNNNNNNNNNNNNNNNNNNNNNNNNNNNNNNNNNNNNNNNNNNNNNNNNNNNNNNNNNNNNNNNNNNNNNNNNNNNNNNNNNNNNNNNNNNNNNNNNNNNNNNNNNNGCCUUCUCCCGCAGGCUGGCUGCCUCCGGGCAAUGCCUCCCCGAGCAAAGCGCCGCGCUCCUCCGUCUGAAACAGGGAUUCACCCCCCCUGCCCGCCGCAACGGCUCUUCCAUUCUUCCUUCCUGGAAGGAGGGCACGGACUGCUGCCGCGGCUGGGCCGGCGUCACCUGCGAAGGGGCAUCCGGUAGCGUCGUCGCACUCGACCUCAGCGGAUCAUCCAUAUCCGGUGGCGUUGACAAGGCUCUCUUCGAUCUCACCUCCCUCCGCUCUCUCGACCUCGCCUGUAACAACUUGAAUUUCUCCACCAUACCUUCUCCCAGCUUCGAGCGGCUGACCAACCUCACCCACCUCAACCUCUCCGAUUCAGGCAUCUCCGGUAGCCUCCCCGUCGGUAUAUCCCGCCUGACCAGCCUAGUCUCGCUAGAUCUCUCCACCCCUGGUCGUUGUUCAUCAUCUUCUUUAACGCUCCAGGAUCCCGAUCUCCCCACACUGAUCCGAAACCUCUCCAACCUCCGUCAGCUCUACCUCGAUGGAGUCAACAUCUCCGCCGGAGGACGCGAUUGGGGCCGGGCGUUGUCUUCCUACGUGCCCAACCUCCACGAGCUCAGCCUGUCCGGCUGUUCGCUCUCCGGUCCCAUCGACGACUCCUUCUCCGCCCUCAAGUCCCUUGUCGUCCUCCGCCUAAAUCAGAACAACCUGAAUACCGAGGUGCCGGAAUUCUUCGGUGAUCUCUCCUUGUUAAGACUGCUUCGUUUAAACGCCUGCGGCCUCCGCGGAUCGCUCCCUAGAAGAAUUUUCCAGCUCCCCUUCCUGGAGACCCUCGACCUGACGCGGAAUCCCUCUCUAUCUGGGAGUUUACCCGACUUUCCACCGGGCACCGUUCUGGAAGACCUGGUGCUGUCCGCCACAAAUUUAUCCGGCGCUCUGCCGGACUCCAUCGGCAACCUCCGGCUUCUGAAGACCUUGCAACUGACCUCCUGUAGGUUCUCCGGUCCACUGCCCGCUUCCUUUCAAAAUCUGACGCGGUUGGUCACCGUCGAUCUCUCAAUGAAUAACUUCAGUGGCCCCAUCCCUUCCUUCGCGUCGUCUCCCAACAUCUCGAAGAUCGAUCUCCAGAACAAUUCUCUCUCCGGACCACUUCCUGGAUGGAUCUUCAGCCUCCGAUCUCUCCAGUCCCUGCAACUCAACUCGAAUCGACUCUAUGGAACCCUCCCUGAGCUCCCCCCGCCCGCAGACUCCGUGCUGGAGACACUGGAUCUGACAAGCAACAGGCUUCAGGGACCCGUUCCGAGGUCCAUCUCGAGGUUGCAGCACCUCAAGAUCCUCAAGCUCGCUUCUAAUAACCUCAACGGCACGCUGGAGCUCAGCCUCUUCGGAACCUCGAGAACAUCUCCAUUCUCGAUCUUUCGUACAAUCGCUUGACCGUCCAGACCAACCCAGCCGCCGCCUUGCCGAACGUCAGCACCCUGAACUUAGCGUUUUGCAGUCUCGAGGGGUUCCCGUCGCUCCUGAAAGACCUACCGAGAUUGAACAGGCUCGACCUCUCCGGCAACAACAUCAGUGGUGCCAUCCCCGACUGGCUGUGGAGCGUGGGCUCCCUCGACUACCUGAAUCUUUCUCACAACUCCCUUACGGAGUUCGAGAGCUCGCCG
rnacentral:lncRNA from 1 species